GCAUGUAAAAGAUAGGGGCAAUAUUUUUAGCAUCUCUUGAGUGAGACAUCCAAAUUCCAAAUCGGCCAAAAUCUUUCCAUUCUCACUGAUAAGCCAAAAACCCUAACACCGCCGCUGGUCAUAUCCAUGUCGCACUUCGGGAGAUCUGGUCCACCGGACAUCAGAGACACCUACUCCCUUCUCGUCCUCAACAUCACUUUCCGUACCACCGCAGACGAUCUUUUCCCGCUCUUCGACCGCUAUGGGAAGGUCGUCGACGUCUUUAUCCCCAGAGACCGAAGGACUGGGGAAUCGCGCGGGUUCGCGUUUGUUCGGUACAAGUAUGCGGAUGAGGCUCAGAAAGCCGUGGAGAAGCUCGAUGGAAGAGUUGUAGAUGGUAGAGAGAUUAUGGUUCAAUUUGCCAAGUAUGGCCCCAAUGCCGAAAGAAUUCAUAAGGGGAGGAUAAUUGAAUCGGAAUCAAAACUUGGAAGCAGGUCAAGAAGCCGUAGUCCUCGUCCAAGGCAUCGUGAUGAGAAUCGAGACAGAGACAGGGAUAGGGAUAGAGACAGGAGGAGAAGCCGCAGUCGAAGUAGGGAUAGAUAUGACCGGGACAGAUCCCAUAAGAGUGAGAGGGAACACCGUUACCGUAGCAGGAGCCGCAGUGCUAGUCCAGAUCGCCACAAAGGUCGUGGGAGGUCCAAAUAUGAUGAUGAUGAGCAUCGCAGUCGGAGCCAUUCCUAUGGGAGUGCCUCCCCUGCUCGGCGUAGUCGUAGUCGUAGUCCUAAAUCUCGCAGGAGCCCAUCUCCUCGUAGGACACCUUCAAAAGGUGAAAACCCUGAAAUACGCGACCUUAAGGAUCGUUCUCCUGCUUCAAAAGAUGCUUCACCACGUGGUAGGCCAGUUGAUUCUCGAAGCCCUUCUCCUCGUAGAUCAGACGUUGAUGAUUGAUGGAGAGCAGCAUAUCAAGUUAUGAGCAUAUUUAUUGUGUCGUUGCCCGUAUUGAGGAGAAAUAGUUGAGUUGCAUGUUGUUGCCAUAUCAAAUGUUAUUUGACUGCCCUGCAGUUAUUCGAAGUUUUGUUCGAGCAGAGCGAAUGUGACUGAAUCACAAGAUGAUGUACUUGCUGUUGGUGCUGUUUAUACUGGUUGUACAGAUGGUAGAUGUCAAUUUGUUUGGUGGUUGCUGUCUACAAUAUCUUACCAAUCUAUAUUGAUGAUGAUAUUCUGGUUGGUAAGAGUAAUAAUAACCUCAUGAUUUUACGAAGUCUUUGUAUCAAUGAGGCUUCUUACUUUUGAUCUGAUCAUUUCUUUUCUACAAUGAUUUAUAAAAGUUUGGUCCUUGCAAAGGCGUUCCUGGUUGCUGUGGUUGCCGAAAGGCGGUCAGAUUUCACAUGCCAAUAAAUGUAGCUGAUGCAGUUUAUAUGAAACAAAUAUGUUGGGGGUUUCAGCUAGCUGUUGGUGUCUAUAUCUUUAUAAAGACUGGCCAAUUGAGCGAGUUGCAGCCCUAGUCGCAGCUUUGGUUAUUAAUUAAAUGAGAUAAAAGUUUUUUUCUUUCUUUUUUUUUUUUUUGGCUCUUUUACAUUACACAGUAGUAGAUGGUUCGUAACCAUGUAAAUAAAUGAAAUUUGAAUGCCUGCAAUUCUCUCUUCGUUUCUAGUUUUCCUUGAGAUUAGUGGCUAGCUGCACAAACUUAAUGAAAAUAAUAAUGACAUGAUUACAUGCAAAGGAAGAAGUGCCUUUGUUUUGUA